rnacentral:siRNA from 1 species
UCAGUGCGUGUUUGAUGGUUAACA